rnacentral:rRNA from 1 species
GUCGAACGAGCGAGAGGAGGUUUACUUUCUCAAGCGAGUGGCGAACGGGUGAGUAACGCGUGAGGAACCUGCCUCAAAGAGGGGGACAACAGUUGGAAACGACUGCUAAUACCGCAUAAGCCCACGACCCGGCAUCGGGUAGAGGGAAAAGGAGCAAUCCGCUUUGAGAUGGCCUCGCGUCCGAUUAGCUAGUUGGUGAGGUAAUGGCCCACCAAGGCGACGAUCGGUAGCCGGACUGAGAGGUUGAACGGCCACAUUGGGACUGAGACACGGCCCAGACUCCUACGGGAGGCAGCAGUGGGGAAUAUUGCACAAUGGGGGAAACCCUGAUGCAGCGACGCCGCGUGGAGGAAGAAGGUCUUCGGAUUGUAAACUCCUGUUGUUGAGGAAGAUAAUGACGGUACUCAACAAGGAAGUGACGGCUAACUACGUGCCAGCAGCCGCGGUAAAACGUAGGUCACAAGCGUUGUCCGGAAUUACUGGGUGUAAAGGGAGCGCAGGCGGGAAGACAAGUUGGAAGUGAAAUCCAUGGGCUCAACCCAUGAACUGCUUUCAAAACUGUUUUUCUUGAGUAGUGCAGAGGUAGGCGGAAUUCCCGGUGUAGCGGUGGAAUGCGUAGAUAUCGGGAGGAACACCAGUGGCGAAGGCGGCCUACUGGGCACCAACUGACGCUGAGGCUCGAAAGUG